UUUCAUUUCACUCAUUCUAAUCAACUCGCUCAUCUCUCUCUCAAGUCUCUCUCUCUCUCUCGUCUCUCCCAUCUCUCUCCUUUCAUUUAUCUCUCUCAAACAUCUCUCAGUUAGGGUUCAUCUCUGUGAUGCACCUUUCUUAGUUUGUGUAGAUUGAAGGUUAAAGACUCAUAUUGCUUGAAGUUUAUGGGUGCAUCUCUCUCAAUUAAGCUGACUGUUUGCUCAAUUAAGUUGAACUAGUAGCCAAUCCCUCGAUAAUAUUCAUCAUGGAUUAGCCAACUUCAGGAUUGGAUGCCAGAGCUGGUGCAAUCAUGAUGAGAACAGUUAGGAUUACUGCAGACACAAGGAUGACAGUUGUUUGCACUAUCCAUCAACCGAGCAACGAUAUUUUUGAAGCUUUCGAUGAGAUAAUAGCCCAUGGACCAAACUGGCUUCUUGGUAGAUCUAGGAAAAUCAAGGAGAACAAUGAACAAGCCGUUGCAGGUUGUUCAUAGUUCCACUAGGUGAUGCUGAUGUUGCUGAAUUGAAGAAGCCGAUAAGGGAGGAACUUGUAGAUGAAAUGCAGGAGAUAAUUGAUAAAAAGGUUCGUGAGAAAUUGACAAAUGUGAUGGGCAGCUCAAGAAAACUUGUAGAGAGGUUGUUAUUGAAGAAUUGCCGGUGUUAGUUCAAUUUUGACUAUAGACUAUAUGUUUGGUUGGAUAUUUGACUCAUAGUGUUAGUCGUCUAUGAACUAACUAGAUGUUGGUUGUAUAUUUUGACUUUGUGAUGUUUGUAUUGUAUAUUAGUUUCGAUUUUAAAAGAGAUCUUGGUGGGAUAUUUUGAGUUGUGCUUUAGUAUUUUAAUUUGAUUGGUUGAUUUUGUA